rnacentral:miRNA from 1 species
AUAAAGGAUCUUUACCAAAGCA